CCUACGGGAGGCAGCAGUGAGGAAUAUUGGUCAAUGGACUGACGUCUGAACCAGCCAUGCCGCGUGCAGGAAGACGGCUCUAUGAGUUGUAAACUGCUUUUGUACAAGGGUAAACCUGAAUACGUGUAUUCUGCUGAAAGUAAUGUACGAAUAAGGCUCGGCUAACUCCGUGCCAGCCGCCGCGGGAAUACGGGAGAUUCAAGCGUUUUCCGGAUUUAUUGGGGUUAAAGGGUGCGUUGGCGGAUUGAUAAGUUAGAGGGUAAAUGUCCGGGCUUAACCCUGGAACUGCCGCUGAUACUGUUGUUCUAGAGAGGAGGAGCGGUAGGCGGAAUGUAUGGUGUAGCGGUGAAAUGCUUAGAGAUCAUGCAGAACACCGAUUGCGAAGGCAGCUUACCAAUCUAUAUCUGACGUUGAGGCACGAAAGCGUGGGUAGCAAACAGGAUUAGAUACCCUAGUAGUC
rnacentral:rRNA from 1 species